AUUAAUUUAUCGUAGUCUUCUAAUAAUGGUUUAAUCUGUUCGCUCUGCAACCUGUCUUUAAGGGAACAGAUGAGCUUUUUGAUCACGCUAAAACUCAUUUUGAAUGUAACGGAAAUUCUUCAAAAGCCUCGUCAAUCUCCUCCUAUCAUUUCCCCCUGAAAGAAUUCUAAGGCUUUACUACCGACUGUCGGAGACCUAUUUGAACAUUAUGGUCUUCAUGUUUUGGAUGUGUUUGAUUCCGAUGUGAAAGUCCCGGAGGAAGAUGAAUACUAUGAAUUUGAGGAAGUCUGUCUGUCUGUAGCAUCUUUUACUUCAAAGUCGUCCUUCGUACGACCAAAAAUAAGGGUGGGAAGCCUUCUACCAUGUAAGAAGAAAAUAUCUUCACAUUAGGUUUGUUUUACGAGAAAAUAAAUUUUCUCGUAUGAAAAUAAACUUUUUCGGGGUUUGGUAUCUUUUUCGGAUGGGAGGUUCGAACAAGGAAAGUGGUCUCCAGAAGAUAUAAAAUAACGCAUUAAUAUGCCCAAAGGCAUAACUUUUACUCAAAUUAUUAGCAUAUUUGUGUGUACCAUCCUUGGGGAAUACAACCAAUGGAGAUGAAAUCGGGAGUGCUGAAGACAUCUUUUCCGCAUCGCUAUUGCAGGAUAAGUGAAGUUUGAACUGUGUGUUUCCUUAAAGUUAUCCACUCGCUCCCAUUGUCUGCCAAUAUAUCCUCUGGAUCUCCGUUUUCGGUACCAAGUUUUCCAAUGGAAUUUCAUAGGUGGUGUACACGAAGAUCCUUUUACAACUACCUAUAUAUAAAGAAUGGUUCCAAGUUCUUAAAUGUGCUCUUAUUCCAGGAUCUUGUGAUGCAUGAUGUGACACAAUAAUGUUUUAAUAUAAAUUCAAAUUACUAAUAUUUAGAUACAAUGAAUAGUCAUGAAAAAGAUAUCCAAAUUAAAAAGAACUAAAUGAAUACACAAUCAAUAGCAAACCACUUAAGAAAUAUAUUAAAAUUGUCGA
rnacentral:lncRNA from 1 species